rnacentral:rRNA from 1 species
GACGAACGCUGGCGGCGUGCCUAAUACAUGCAAGUCGAGCGGAACUGGGGGAGCUUGCUCCUUCCAGUUUAGCGGCGGACGGGUGAGUAACACGUGGGCAACCUGCCCUGCAGAUCGGGAUAACUCCGGGAAACCGGUGCUAAUACCGAAUAGUUUGGCGCCUCUCCUGAGGCGCCAGGGAAAGACGGUUUCGGCUGUCACUGCAGGCUGGGCCCGCGGCGCAUUAGCUAGUUGGUGGGGUAACGGCUCACCAAGGCGACGAUGCGUAGCCGACCUGAGAGGGUGACCGGCCACACUGGGACUGAGACACGGCCCAGACUCCUACGGGAGGCAGCAGUAGGGAAUCUUCCGCAAUGGACGCAAGUCUGACGGAGCAACGCCGCGUGAGUGACGAAGGUUUUCGGAUCGUAAAACUCUGUUGUAAGGGAAGAACACGUACCAACUAACUAUUGGUACCUUGACGGUACCUCACCAGAAAGCCACGGCUAACUACGUGCCAGCCGCCGCAGUAA